rnacentral:rRNA from 1 species
UACAGAGGACUCAAGCGUUGUUCGGCUUUACUGGGCGUAGAGGGUGCGUAGGAGGCCGCGCCAGCCAGGCGGGAAAGCCCGGCGCUCAACCCCGCGAUGGCGCUUGAAACUGCGCGGCUGGAGGGCGGGAGAGGCUGACGGAAUUCCCGGGGUAGCAGUGAGAUGCGUAGAGAUCGGGAGGAAAACGAAAGGCGAAGGCGGGCAGCUGGAAGGCACCUGACUCUGAGGCGCGAAAGUCAGCGGAGCAGCUGGG